CCUACGGGAGGCAGCAGUUAGGAAUAUUGGGCAAUGGAGGAAACUCUGACCCAGCAACGCCGCGUGAAGGAAGAAGGUUUUCGGAUUGUAAACUUCUGAUCUGUGGGACGAAGGAAGUGACGGUACCACAGUAUAAAGCCACGGCUAACUACGUGCCAGCAGCCGCGGUAAUACGGAGGGGGCGAGCGUGGUCCGGAAUAACUGGGCGUAAAGGUAGCGUAGGUGGGUGAUUAAGUUAAAUGUGAAAGCCCAGGGCUCAAAGCUGGAACUGGGUUUGAUACUGGUCGGCUAGAGUACAGGAGGGGUAAGCGGAAUUUCUGGUGUAGCGGUGAAAUGCGUAGAUAUUAGGAAGAACACCGGAGGCGAAGGCGGUUUACUGGCUUGCAACUGACACUGAGGCUCGAAAGCGUGGGGAGCAAACAGGAUUAGAUACCCCUGUAGUC
rnacentral:rRNA from 1 species